AUGAUGGAUGAGUAUGAGGCUGGACUUGCUGGACUUUUGGAGUUUGAGGCGCUCGAGCGCGAGAUGCGCGAACUUGUCCCCGCAGCGACCAGCGCAAUCGCGCUCCUGGCCACUCCAAGGGUGGGUGAUACGAGGGAGACCUACUGCCAUGUUUGCCAUGAUGAUUUCGAGGAGGGGGACAAGCUGAGGGCGAUGCCCUGCGCCCACUCUUUUCAUCAGCGCUGUAUCUUCAGGGUGCUCAGUGUUAACCGUCUGUGCCCAGUCUGCAGCCACGAACUUCCGGGGGACUACCUGGAGAUGCCUUGA
rnacentral:rRNA from 1 species